rnacentral:rRNA from 1 species
GACGAACGCUGGCGGCGUGCUUAACACAUGCAAGUCGAACGGAAAGGCCCUGCUUUCAGUGUACUCGCGUGGCGAACGGGUGAUUAACACGUGGGUGAUCUGCUCUGCAUUUCGGUAUAAUCCUUUGAAACUGGGUCUAAUACCGCAUAGUAGCCAUUUUUAGUGUGAUGGUUGGUAAGUUUUUUCGGUGUAGGUUGAGCUCGCAGCCUAUCAGCUUAGUGGUGGGAUAAUGGCCUACCAAGGCGGCUACGGGUAGCCGGCCUGAGAGGGUGGACGGCCAGAUUGAGACUGAGGGACGGCACAGACACGGACGGGAGGCAUCAGGGGGGAAUAUUGAAGAAGGGGCGCAAGCCUGAUGAAGAGACGCCGCGUGGGGGAUGACGGCCUUCGGGUGGUAAACUACUUUCGCUAGGGACGAAGCUUUUUGUGACGGUACCUAGAUAAGAAGCACCGGCUAACUACGUG